GCCCGGUGUGCUCGAGGUCCGCCUGCGACAUGACGGACACGUGGCGGAAGCUCGACGAGGAGGUCGCGGCGACGCCGAUGCCGGAGAUCUACCUGACGAAGAUGGUAAGCAGCAGAUCGCUAACUCCCCACACACGACCCUGCAGGUCGGAUGCCGAUUGCUGAAGCUGAACGAUGGAUGGACUGCAGGUGUGGAUCCUGUGCAACGACUGCAGCGCGACGUCGAGCGUGCGGUUCCACGUGCUGGGGCAGAAGUGCCCCGGGUGCAGCUCCUACAACACCCGGGAGACAAGGGCCGGCCCGGCGCUCGCCGCGCGCUCCAGAGUUUGAGCAGAGGCCCACGCCACAAACGCCGAGGAGGUUCAUUCGAAGCCCAAAGCGUCCAUGUCCACCAGGUACAUCAUG
rnacentral:lncRNA from 1 species